rnacentral:snRNA from 1 species
GUACUCUCAUUGGCAGCCCAUAUGCUAAAAUUGGAAUGAUACAGAGUAGACAGGCAUGGCCCCUGUGCAAGGAUGCCACACAAAUUUGUGAAGUAUUUGUGAAGAAUAUUUUU